CAGUAGCCGCGGUAAUACCGAGGGUGCAAGCGUUAAUCGGAAUUACUGGGCGUAAAGCGCGCGUAGGUGGUUCGCCAAGUUGGAUGUGAAAUCCCCGGGCUCAACCUGGGAACUGCAUCCAAAACUGGCGAGCUAGAGUAUGGUAGAGGGUGGUGGAAUUUCCUGUGUAGCGGUGAAAUGCGUAGAUAUAGGAAGGAACAUCAGUGGCGAAGGCGACCACCUGGACUGAUACUGACACUGAGGUGCGAAAGCGUGGGGAGCAAACAGGAUUAGAUACCCCAGUAGUCCCUGUCUCUUAUAA
rnacentral:rRNA from 1 species